AGCACGAUCCUACGGGGGCAGCAGUGGGGAAUAUUGCACAAUGGGGGAAACCCUGAUGCAGCGACGCCGCGUGAGCGAGGAAGUAUUUCGGUAUGUAAAGCUCUGUCAGCGGGGAAGAAAGAAAUGACGGUACCCGACCAAGAAGCACCGGCUAAAUACGUGCC
rnacentral:rRNA from 1 species